AGUCCAUCACGCCACGGCAAAAACGACGCUCCAACUGCUGGCUGCAUGGCAUUUUUAUCAAAUGGAAACGGACAUACAGAACACCCAGAGGCAGGGCGAAAAUCGAACCCACCACCCAAGAUAUAGCCCGCAAGCACGAGGUUAACUAACCCACCGGGGUCCUCUGAAGAUAGCUAGGUCCACUGCUGGGACAGGUUCCACUUGCUGAGAUGUUUAUGGACCCGACUUGUCGUGCUAAGCCUGGCCCGGUGCAGCGGCGGCUCGUCGGGGAAAAAACUACGAACGAAAACCUCUUCUAUCAAUGGAUUU